AUGUUACUUCAUUGGUUAUUAAUGAAAAGCCUUAAUUACCAAAAAAAAAAAACUUCUGAAUGCAGUGGCCCUGGGGUAUUUGUCAUGCUCAAACUCCGGUAAGUAGAUCCACACCUGUAUGAGAAAACUUAAACCAACAUUAUGUGAGACACACAUGCAAGAUAUGAUUGAGGCUAUUUUCACAAAAUAGCUUAUUUGGCUAAAAUGUGGCUAGAAAUGCAAAAUUUGGCUAAGAUCCCGCAAAGCCAAGAACCUAUAAUUUACUAGGAAGACCGGAUUCUAUGUUGGUUGCCUACGUAUCACGCCCCUAAAUACAAAAAUCAGGUUUGCGUAGUUCAAGCAGAUUGGAUGCGGGCGAGAAUAAAAAAAACAACUAAUUUAGAGAAAAUAUAUUUUUUUCUUUUUCUUUUGAAAACAGAUGAAGCAUGUAAAUUCUUUUUGAAUUUCCCCCCCUCUAUUUCUUUAAUUUUUGGAAUAUGAUGGAAAUGCAAAAUCUUUUUGAAUUUUUUAUUUUCUUUUAUUUUCUUUUUUUUUUCAAAUAUGUGAUAGAAAACAUAAUCGGGUCGUACUUGCUUCAUUUUCACACUUCACUCUCUCUCUUUUUUCUUUGUUUUUUUCUUUUGAUUUGCUCUCAACUUUCAUUGGUCCACUAAAUGACAAUGUUAACCUUGGAGAAAUGCAACAUGUAGCACAUAGGAUGUAUCGGGAUGAUUUAUUAUUUUUGGUACACCUGUCCUAGAUGGAUCCAAACCCUGUGUUGAGUCCCCUAAGUCAAAUGCACAUGAUGUAAACAAGCGCUCCUACUAGGGUUCCGGCAUGAGGUUGUGUUCUUCUAGGUUUAAAUCCUGGGAUAUUGGUCUAGACUUUGGGUACCCGAGCGGAUAAUUGGGGUCGAAGAUGGGGCGACGUACCGGGAGCACAAAAGUCUACCCGGCCUUACCACUUGUCCAGCCUCGUUCUAUUUGGUAUAAAUCUACGGGAAAAAUAGGCUACGCGAAUAUAUGCACCAUUUCCAGAAGACUUAGAGGGGUGACAUAAGAAGAUAAUUAUAUACAAUUAAAACAAUAUUAUAGCGGUGAACAGAUAGCAUUUAGCACAAAAAAGUUCACAAAAUAAAAUAAUAUUAGCAAUAAAUAAAGCCAAGUAAAAGUCAUAAAACAAGCUCGAAUUCUUGAACCCUGAAUUGGAGAUGCUGUGUUCGAUCCCCAGCGGAGUCGCCAGAGCUGUCACAAUUCUUUUUUACAUUACACCCCGCGAAGGGCGUAUAUAAGGGAGUUUUUUCUAAUUUAAGUGAUAAUCAAAAAAGGAUUAUUUAUAUUAAAAAUUCAUAGUUGCCACUUAGGAUAAUUAAUGGUAUCCCAAGUCACCGAUUCAAGGAAAAUGUUGACUCUAUUUAUGGUCCGCGAAUACAAAAAACCGGGUAAUGAAUUCUGUUAACCUAGAAAAAGGUGUUAGACACUCCCGAGUUCCGUGGUUCUAGCAUAGUCGCUUUCAUCAUACUUGACUUAUAAAAUUGUCUAAUUACUGAUUUUAGAAUAAAUGUGAGUUUAUUUUUUUUACCACUUUUGAAUUAAGAAAAUUAUCUUGGAACGAGUCACGUGUAUGUGUAUCUAUUUGUUUGGCGCGUCAAAAAUCAUGUCACGCGAACGUGUCAAAAAUUAAUAUCGCUUUAUUAUUAUUAUGAUUUUUUGGUCAAAAUUGCACGAACGCAUACUCUGGUUUUAUUUUUAGAAUCGUAAUCAUGUCACACGAACAUGUACAAAAUCAUGAUGGCAUAUUAAACUGGCCUAGAGAAACUACGAGUAUUUGUCCUUUUAAUAUCUAGGCUAUGAAUUUAAACAAGGGUCAUGAAUUGUUAACUUGUGGAUGUCACACCUCGGACUAUAUGAACUAAAUUUAAAUAGUGGCUUAUUAAAAUAAUUUUAUUAUUAAAAAAUUUGAUCGAAGUUGCACGAACACAUACUCCAAAUCAAAUUUUUAGAAUCAUAAUUACUCCACACGAGUAUGUACACAAUCAAAUUGUAUUUUUAAACAAGCACCUAAAGCCAGCUACGAGAGUAAUCAGAAUACCAUUAUCAAACAGACGAUUUUUUUUAAAAAACAAUCUAAAGUAUUGUGUUCCUAAAAUUACCAUAAACUUAACCCAAUUUUCUGAUUUUUUAAAGAAAAGCAUCUCGAAUGCUUUAGCCAAAAGGCCAAAGUAUGUCAAUGUAUCACAUCUUUUUAUUCAUUUAACAACAAAAUUUAAAAAGUACGUAAGAACAAAAAAGAUAAAAAAUUAAGAUGACACGGGAUUCAUGGAUAAAUAUUCAUGUUAUUUCAAAACAAAUAUUCUAAGCAUUCCUUUGGUGAUUAAACUCUAAAUUUCUUAAAAUCAAAGAGCAAAUAAAGUUUAAAAUUGGGUCUUUUAUUGAAUUCAAAAUUACAACUUAGAAUACUAACCGGAAAUGACCGCAAACGGAACAGAGACUCGACAACCUCGAAGCUCGUCGGAAACUGACGAACCUCGGAUGAACCCGGACUCUCCAGAACGAGUAGUGGUAACAUCAAGCACGAGGGACUGACUAUCUUGUGUCCGCCUUCUACUCAAAUCAAGACUCGAAAGUGAUCUCAAGGGGUCGUUUGAUUUGGAGAAGUUCGUAUAUGAGAUUACCUGAUUUAGAAGGGUUCGAUUUCGAUGAUAGACGGGGGGGGNN
rnacentral:lncRNA from 1 species